rnacentral:rRNA from 1 species
CAGUCGCCACGGGAAUACGAAGGGUGCAAGCGUUAAUCGGAAUUACUGGGCGUAAAGCGUGCGUAGGCGGUGAGUUAAGUCUGCUGUGAAAUCCCCGGGCUCAACCUGGGAAUGGCAGUGGAUACUGGCUCGCUAGAGUGUGUCAGAGGAUGGUGGAAUUCCCGGUGUAGCGGUGAAAUGCGUAGAGAUCGGGAGGAACAUCAGUUGCGAAGGCGGCCAUCUGGGACAACACUGACGCUGAGGCACGAAAGCGUGGGGAGCAAACAGGAUUAGAUACCCCAGUAGUCCCUGUCUCUUAUAC